UGAGGAAUAUUGGUCAAUGGGCGAGAGCCUGAACCAGCCAAGUAGCGUGCAGGAUGACGGCCCUAUGGGUUGUAAACUGCUUUUAUAUGGGAAUAAAGUGAGGGACGUGUCCCUUAUUGCAUGUACCAUACGAAUAAGGACCGGCUAAUUCCGUGCCAGCAGCCGCGGUAAUACGGAAGGCCCAGGCGUUAUCCGGAUUUAUUGGGUUUAAAGGGAGCGUAGGCUGUUUGUUAAGCGUGUUGUGAAAUGUAAGAGCUCAACUUUUAGAUUGCAGCGCGAACUGGCAGACUUGAGUGCGCACAACGUAGGCGGAAUUCAUGGUGUAGCGGUGAAAUGCUUAGAUAUCAUGACGAACUCCGAUUGCGAAGGCAGCUUACGGGAGCGCAACUGACGCUAAAGCUCGAAGGUGCGGGUAUCGAACAGG
rnacentral:rRNA from 1 species